UCUGCAGCCCGACUUGAACGGAAAUCCUUUUUUGCGUUUACUUAAGUUCAACUUAAUGGAAAUCGUCAUGCAAAAAAGAUUGGGAGUGGAAGGCGGAAAUAGCU
rnacentral:sRNA from 1 species